AGUGAACGCUGGCGGUAGGCCUAACACAUGCAAGUCGAACGGCAGCACAGUAAGAGCUUGCUCUUACGGGUGGCGAGUGGCGGACGGGUGAGGAAUACAUCGGAAUCUACUUUUUCGUGGGGGAUAACGUAGGGAAACUUACGCUAAUACCGCAUACGACCUACGGGUGAAAGCAGGGGAUCUUCGGACCUUGCGCGAUUGAAUGAGCCGAUGUCGGAUUAGCUAGUUGGCGGGGUAAAGGCCCACCAAGGCGACGAUCCGUAGCUGGUCUGAGAGGAUGGUCAGCCACACUGGAACUGAGACACGGUCCAGGCUCCUACGGGAGGCAGCAGGGGGGAAUAUUGGGCAAUGGGCGGAAGCCUGAAGCAGCCACACCGCGUGGGUGAAGAAGGGCUUCGGGGUGUAAAACCCUUUUAGUGGGGAAGAAAAAGAGGAUGGUUAACCCCCCGCGGUUUGACGGGACCCAAAAAAAAAGCCACGGCUAACUUCGUG
rnacentral:rRNA from 1 species